UCGCCUGUUUACCAAAACUUAUUUUAAAGAAAAAAAAUUUUAGAUAAAUUCUGCUCAAUGAGUAAGUUAAAUAGCUGCAGUAAAUUAACUGUACUAAGGUAGCAUAAUAAGUUGCUUUAUAAUUAAAAGCUUGAAUGAAAGAAAUAAUGUGAAAGAAGCUUUUUAAACUAAAAUAGUGAAAAUUAAUAUUUAAGUGAAAAAUCUUAAAUAGAAUCAAAAGACAAGAAGACCCUUUAGAACUUUACAAAUUGAUUUAAUAUCAUUUAGUUAAUUUGUUAAAUUGGGGAGAUUUUUAAAUAAAUAAAUCUUUAGAUAUAAAAAAAUGAUUUAAAUCAGAUUAAAUUAUCCAAAUGUGAAAUAAAACAAGUUACCUAAGGGAUAACAGCGCAAAAUUUUUGAGAAGUUCUCAUUUACAAAAUAAAUUGCGACCUCGAUGUUGGAUUAAGAACAACUUAUAAAGAAAAAUUAUAAGAGUGUCGUCGUCACA
rnacentral:rRNA from 1 species